UACAGAGGUCUCAAGCGUUGUUCGGAUUCAUUGGGCGUAAAGGGUGCGUAGGUGGCGCCGUAAGUCAGGUGUGAAAUUUCGGAGCUUAACUCCGAAACUGCAUUUGAUACUGCGGUGCUUGAGGACUGGAGAGGAGACUGGAAUUCACGGUGUAGCAGUGAAAUGCGUAGAGAUCGUGAGGAAGACCAGUGGCGAAGGCGGGGUCUCUGGACAGUUACUGACACUGAGGCAGCGAAGGCCAGGGGAGCAAAACGGG
rnacentral:rRNA from 1 species